GGGAUGAAGGCCUUCGGGUUGUAAACCUCUUUCAGUAGGGAAGAAGCGAAAGUGACGGUACCUGCAGAAGAAGCGCCGGCUAACUACGUGCCAGCAGCCGCGGUAAUACGUAGGGCGCAAGCGUUGUCCGGAAUUAUUGGGCGUAAAGAGCUCGUAGGCGGUUUGUCGCGUCUGGUGUGAAAACUCAAGGCUCAACCUUGAGCUUGCAUCGGGUACGGGCAGACUAGAGUGUGGUAGGGGUGACUGGAAUUCCUGGUGUAGCGGUGGAAUGCGCAGAUAUCAGGAGGAACACCGAUGGCGAAGGCAGGUCACUGGGCCACUACUGACGCUGAGGAGCGAAAGCAUGGGGAGCGAACAGGAUUAGAUACCCUGGUAGUCCAUGCCGUAAACGUUGGGCACUAGGUGUGGGGCUCAUUCCACGAGUUCCGCGCCGCAGCUAACGCAUUAAGUGCC
rnacentral:rRNA from 1 species